rnacentral:rRNA from 1 species
UACGUAGGGGGCAAGCGUUGUCCGGAUUUCUUGGGCGUAAAGAGCUCGUAGGUGGUUCGGUAAGUCGGAUGUGAAAUCUCCAGGCUCAACCUGGAGGGGUCAUUCGAUACUGCCGUGACUAGAGGUCGGUAGGGGAGUGUGGAAUUCCUGGUGGAGCGGUGAAAUGCGCAGAUAUCAGGAGGAACACCCGUAGCGAAGGCGGCACUCUGGGCCGAUACUGACACUGAGGAGCGAAAGCGUGGGGAGCGAACAGG